rnacentral:lncRNA from 1 species
UUUCCUUUGACAGAGAGAAAGAGAGAGGUGGCAUAGGAGAAAGAAAUGCAGAGGGAAAGAGAUAAACAUAGAAGAGCAAACAGGGUGAACUUCUUCUGAAUCAGAAUUGUGCUGUCUUUUUGAAGCAGAUGGGGAACAUCUUGUGAAGAAAAUCAUAUGGGAAUCGUGCUGUAUUUUUUAAUCUGAUGGGUUGAAUCAGGUUUAGGGAAAAGCCCUUUGUAUGUUUUUCCUUAGUUUAUUUUUCCUAAUAUGUCUUUUCUGCUAUGUUAAUUU